rnacentral:rRNA from 1 species
UACGAAGGGUGCAAGCGUUAAUCGGAAUUACUGGGCGUAAAGGGUGCGUAGGCGGUUCGUUAAGUCUGUCGUGAAAUCCCCGGGCUCAACCUGGGAAUGGCGAUGGAUACUGGCGAGCUAGAGUGUGUCAGAGGAUGGUGGAAUUCCCGGUGUAGUGGUGAAAUGCGUAGAGAUCGGGAGGAACAUCAGUGGCGAAGGCGGCCAUCUGGGACAACACUGACGCUGAAGCACGAAAGCGUGGGGAGCAAACAGG